CCUUUAGCAAUUUUUCUCAUAAUUUUUCAUUUGACUGCAGUUAUGCAUUGCCGUUCCUUGCCACAUGUUCAAGUUGUGAGCUGUUAUAGGAAUUAUGUUUCAGGUUCCUUUGGUCUUGAUCACUAAUUACCUCCAAAAUAAAUACAGAAACUCAAUGGUUGGAAAUAUGAUUUUUUGGUUCAUAUUUUGUAUUCUUGGUCAACCAAUGAGCGUACUAUUAUACUACCAUGACUUGAUGAGUAGAAAAAGGAGAAGUUGACUAAGGUAGCAUAACAACUGUUCAUGUGGAUGAGCUUGUGCGUUUUCUGAGUAAAAUCGAUGUUGCUAUGUUGCCUUCUGGGUUAGGCAUUUCCAUGUGAUUUGCUGAGUCUUUCGAGCUUAAUUUAUCUUGAUCUAUGUAUUUAUUUAACUUACUUGCUUUGGCGCUUUUAUCAAUAUGAAAGCAAUUUUGGAAGCAAACUAACAAAUUGUCUAACGCUGACUGCUAAGGUAACACACACUGGUUUCUGAUAGUUAGUUGAGUGAUAGCUGUAAAUGCCAAAGUUGGGUUUAACUGUAUC